rnacentral:rRNA from 1 species
UACAGAGGUCUCAAGCGUUGUUCGGAUUCAUUGGGCGUAAAGGGUGCGUAGGUGGCGCGCUAAGUCAGGUGUGAAAUUUCGGAGCUUAACUCCGAAACUGCACUUGAUACUGCCUUGCUCGAGUACUGGAGAGGAGAUUGGAAUUUACGGUGUAGCAGUGAAAUGCGUAGAUAUCGUAAGGAAGACCAGUGGCGAAGGCGAAUCUCUGGACAGUUACUGACACUGAGGCACGAAGGCCAGGGGAAGCAAACCGGG